rnacentral:rRNA from 1 species
AUACGGGGGGGUGCAAGCGUUGUUCGGAAUUAUUGGGCGUAAAGAGCGUGUAGGCGGCCGGAUGUGUCAGAUGUGAAAGCCCUGGGCUUAACCCAGGAAGUGCAUUUGAAACUGUCCGGCUUGAGUAGGGGAGAGGGAAGUGGAAUUCCUGGUGUAGAGAUGAAAUUCGUAGAUAUCAGGAGGAACACCGGUGGCGAAGGCGACUUCCUGGCCCUAUACUGACGCUGAGACGCGAGAGCGU